rfam:Ixodes scapularis strain Wikel colony gcontig_1108379551113, whole genome shotgun sequence.
CCCUCGGCUUUUUAAAGCCACCAUGAGAAAAAAAAUCAAUGUGU